rnacentral:lncRNA from 10 species
GCAACACAGAAACAGCAACACUGUGAUCUUCCAAGUGACUAUUUUCAAGAUUACUACCUAAUUUUGAAUAUCUAAAUUUUGAAAUGUUAUUUUUAAAAAAAUCAGUUUUGUUAUUGCAUCCUCCGGUACACAGAAAUGACUGGGUAUCAUUUCCACUAAAAAUCAUCAAACACCCCUAUCAUUAGGAAUAAGAUCUGGGUCAGCAGACCCUUCUGUACACAGCUGACACAUGGCCACUACGAUGGAAGCUGAGAUGUCCAAGCAAACCCAGGUACAGAAGAGCUACCACAGGUGAGCGCUUACAUAAGCCAGGCUGUUCAUCUGGCAAAUGUUUCUUUUUCCCUCAACACCUGUUAGUAAAGAACACCAGAAGCAGGUUACUUUCAACUGGAAGGCCAGCAAUACAGCUUCACUGUCCUACCUCUCCAGCACUAUGUCAUGAUUUAGCCAGCAGGGGCCUUGAUUGCCCUUCUCUUCCACAAGACAUCAUUGUUGUCCAUUACAUUGAUGACAUUAUGCUGUUUGGAUCUAGUGAUUGAAAUGAAGUAAUUACUUUAGACUUACUUUGCAUGUCAGAAGGUGGAAAAUAAACCUGACAAAAAAUCAGGGACUUUCUACCUCAGUGAAAACUGCAGGGGUCCAGUGACAUGGGGCAAAUCAAGAUAUCCCUUCUAAGAUGAAGAAUAAGUUGUUGCAUAUGGCUUUUCCUACAACCAAGAAGGACACAUAAUAUCCGGUGAGCCUCUUUGAAUUUUGAAAGCAACAUAUUCUUCAUUUGGGUAUGCUACAAAAACCUAUUUACUGAGUGACCCCAAAGCUGCUAAUUUUGACUGGAGCCAGAAAAAAAGAAGGUUCUGCAGCAGGUCCAGGCUGCCGUGCAAGCUGCUCUGCGACUUGGGCCAUAUGAUCCGGCAGAUCCAAUGGUACUUGAAGUAACAGUGGCAGACAUGGAUGCUGUUUAAAGCCUUUGCUGGGCCUUAGAGCUGACUCACAGUGCAGGCCUCUAGGGUUUUUGUGAAAGACCCUGACAGCACCUUAAUCUUGGACUUAUA